rnacentral:rRNA from 1 species
CCUACGGUGGACAGCAGUCGAGAAUCAUUCACAAUGGGGGAAACCCUGAUGGUGCGACGCCGCGUGGGGGAAUGAAGGUCUUCGGAUUGUAAACCCCUGUCAUGUGGGAGCAAAUUAAAAAGAUAGUACCACAAGAGGAAGAGAUGGCUAACUCUGUGCCAGCAGCCGCGGUAAUACAGAGGUCUCAAGCGUUGUUCGGAAUCACUGGGCGUAAAGCGUGCGUAGGCUGUUUCGUAAGUCGUGUGUGAAAGGCGCGGGCUCAACCCGCGGACGGCACAUGAUACUGCGAGACUAGAGUAAUGGAGGGGGAACCGGAAUUCUCGGUGUAGCAGUGAAAUGCGUAGAUAUCGAGAGGAACACUCGUGGCGAAGGCGGGUUCCUGGACAUUAACUGACGCUGAGGCACGAAGGCCAGGGGAGCGAAAGGGAUUAGAUACCCCAGUAGUC